GUUGAACGCUGGCGGCAUGCCUUACACAUGCAAGUCGAACGGCAGCACGGGAGCAAUCCUGGUGGCGAGUGGCGAACGGGUGAGUAAAGUAUCGGAACGUGCCCAGUCGUGGGGGAUAACGUAGCGAAAGUUACGCUAAUACCGCAUACGAUCUAUGGAUGAAAGCGGGGGAUGGCAAGACCUCGCGCGAUUGGAGCGGCCGAUAUCAGAUUAGGUAGUUGGUGGGGUAAAGGCUCACCAAGGCGACGAGCUGUAGCUGGUCUGAGAGGACGACCAGCCACACUGGGACUGAGACACGGCCCAGACUCCUACGGGAGGCAGCAGUGGGGAAUUUUGGACAAUGGGCGAAAGCCUGAUCCAGCCAUGCCGCGUGCAGGAUGAAGGCCUUCGGGUUGUAAACUGCUUUUGUACGGAGCGAAAAGGUUUGGGCUAAUAAGCUGAGCUCAUGACGGUACCGUAAGAAUAAGCACCGGCUAACUACGUGCCAGCCGCCGCCGUAA
rnacentral:rRNA from 1 species